CCUACGGGUGGCAGCAGUGGGGAAUAUUGCACAAUGGGGGAAACCCUGAUGCAGCGACGCCGCGUGAGUGAGGAAGGAUUUCGGUAUGUAAAGCUCUAGCAGCAGGGAAGAAAAUGACGGUACCUGACUAAGAAGCCCCGGCUAACUACGUGCCAGCAGCCGCGGUAAUACGUAGGGGACAAGCGUUAUCCGGAUUUACUGGGUGUAAAGGGAGCGUAGACGGCUAGUCAAGUCAGAAGUGAAAGCCCAGGGCUCAACCUUGGGACUGCUUUUGAAACGGCGUAGCUAGAGUGCAGGAGAGGUCAGCGGCAUUCCUAGUGUAGCGGUGAAAUGCGUAGAUAUUAGGAGGAACCCCAGUGGCGAAGGCGGCUUACUGGACUGUAACUGACGUUGAGGCUCGAAAGCGUGGGGAGCAAACAGGAUUAGAUACCCGAGUAGUC
rnacentral:rRNA from 1 species